AGUGAACGCUGGCGGUAGGCCUAACACAUGCAAGUCGAACGGCAGCACAGUAAGAGCUUGCUCUUACGGGUGGCGAGUGGCGGACGGGUGAGGAAUACAUCGGAAUCUACUUUUUCGUGGGGGCUAACGUAGGGAAACUUACGCUAAUACCGCAUACGACCUACGGGUGAAAGCAGGGGAUCUUCUGACCUUGCGCGAUUGAAUGAGCCGAUGUCGGAUUAGCUAGUUGGCGGGGUAAAGGCCCACCAAGGCGACGAUCCGUAGCUGGUUUGAGAGGAUGAAUAGCCACACGGGAACUGAGAAACCGUCCACACUCCUGCGGGGAGCCACAGUGGGGAAUAUUAGGCAAUGGGGCCAAGGCUGAUCCAGGCCUACCGCGGAGGGCAAGAAGGACCUCGGGUUGGUAAGCCCUUUUGUUGGGAAAGAAAAACAGCAGGUUUAUACCCCGCUGUUCUGACGGUACCCAAAGAAUAAGCACCGGCUAACUUCGUG
rnacentral:rRNA from 1 species